GGCUGCAUAGCUCAAUGGUAGAGCAUUAGACUCUGAUAUCGAAGCUGAAAAAGUGGAUAAUGUUGCAUCGGAUGGCUGUGGGGGUUCGAUUCCCACCGCGGCCU